rnacentral:rRNA from 1 species
GUACACUCCUGCGGGAGGCAGCAGUGAGGAAUAUUGGACAAUGGGUGGAAGCCUGAUCCAGCCAUCCCGCGUGCAGGAAGACGGCCCUAUGGGUUGUAAACUGCUUUUAUCUGGGGAUAAACCUACUUACGUGUAAGUAGCUGAAGGUACCAGAAGAAUAAGCACCGGCUAACUCCGUGCCAGCAGCCGCGGUAAUACGGAGGGUGCAAGCGUUAUCCGGAUUUAUUGGGUUUAAAGGGUCCGUAGGCGGACUGAUAAGUCAGUGGUGAAAUCCGACAGCUUAACUGUCGAACUGCCAUUGAUACUGUUAGUCUUGAGUAAGGUUGAAGUGGCUGGAAUAAGUAGUGUAGCGGUGAAAUGCAUAGAUAUUACUUAGAACACCAAUUGCGAAGGCAGGUCACUAAGUCUUAACUGACGCUGGUGGACGAAAGCGUGGGGAGCGAACAGGAUUAGAAACCCGUGUAGUCCCAUGAU